GGAUGUGAGGGCGAUCUGGCUGCGACAUCUGUCACCCCAUUGAUCGCCAGGGUUGAUUCGGCUGAUCUGGCUGGCUAGGUGGGUGUCCCCUUCCUACCUCACCGCUCCAUGUGCGUCCCUCCCGAAGCUGCGCGCUCCGUCGAAGAGGACGACCAACCCCGAUAGAGGAGGACCGGUCUUCGGUCAAGGGUAUACGAGUAGCUGCGCUCCCCUGCUGGAACCUCCAAACAAGCUCUCAAGAUUGCUGAUCUAGGGCCACUAAGUGAUGAAUUGUAUUUGGAAGCAAAAAGGAUGGCUAAAAAGGACCUCAACCCUUUU
rnacentral:snRNA from 10 species